rnacentral:rRNA from 1 species
AUACGUAGGGGGCGAGCGUUGUCCGGAAUGAUUGGGCGUAAAGGGCGCGUAGGCGGCCCGGUAAGUCUGGAGUGAAAGUCCUGUUUUUAAGAUGGGAAUUGCUUUGGAUACUGUCGGGCUUGAGUGCAGGCGAGGUAAGUGGAAUUCCCAGUGUAGCGGUGAAAUGCGUAGAGAUUGGGAGGAACACCAGUGGUGAAGGCGACUUACUGGACUGUAACUGACGCUGAGGCGCGAAAGUGUGGGGAGCAAACAGGAUUAGAUACCCUGGUAGUCCACACUGUAAACGAUGAAUGCUAGGUGUAGGGGGUAUCGACCCCUUCUGUGCCGCAGUCAACACAAUAAGCAUUCCGCCUGGGGAGUACGGCCGCAAGGUUGAAACUCAAAUGAAUUGACGGG